rnacentral:rRNA from 1 species
GGAAAGGCGCGCGAUACAGGGUGACAGCCCCGUACACAAAAAUGCACAUGCUGUGAGCUCGAUGAGUAGGGCGGGACACGUGGUAUCCUGUCUGAAUAUGGGGGGACCAUCCUCCAAGGCUAAAUACUCCUGACUGACCGAUAGUGAACCAGUACCGUGAGGGAAAGGCGAAAAGAACCCCGGCGAGGGGAGUGAAAAAGAACCUGAAACCGUGUACGUACAAGCAGUGGGAGCACGCUUAGGCGUGUGACUGCGUACCUUUUGUAUAAUGGGUCAGCGACUUAUAUUCUGUAGCAAGGUUAACCGAAUAGGGGAGCCGAAGGGAAACCGAGUCUUAACUGGGCGUUAAGUUGCAGGGUAUAGACCCGAAACCCGGUGAUCUAGCCAUGGGCAGGUUGAAGGUUGGGUAACACUAACUGGAGGACCGAACCGACUAAUGUUGAAAAAUUAGCGGAUGACUUGUGGCUGGGGGUGAAAGGCCAAUCAAACCGGGAGAUAGCUGGUUCUCCCCGAAAGCUAUUUAGGUAGCGCCUCGUGAAUUCAUCUCCGGGGGUAGAGCACUGUUUCGGCAAGGGGGUCAUCCCGACUUACCAACCCGAUGCAAACUGCGAAUACCGGAGAAUGUUAUCACGGGAGACACACGGCGGGUGCUAACGUCCGUCGUGAAGAGGGAAACAACCCAGACCGCCAGCUAAGGUCCCAAAGUCAUGGUUAAGUGGGAAACGAUGUGGGAAGGCCCAGACAGCCAGGAUGUUGGCUUAGAAGCAGCCAUCAUUUAAAGAAAGCGUAAUAGCUCACUGGUCGAGUCGGCCUGCGCGGAAGAUGUAACGGGGCUAAACCAUGCACCGAAGCUGCGGCAGCGACGCUGAUGCGUUGUUGGGUAGGGGAGCGUUCUGUAAGCCUGCGAAGGUGUGCUGUGAGGCAUGCUGGAGGUAUCAGAAGUGCGAAUGCUGACAUAAGUAACGAUAAAGCGGGUGAAAAGCCCGCUCGCCGGAAGACCAAGGGUUCCUGUCCAACGUUAAUCGGGGCAGGGUGAGUCGACCCCUAAGGCGAGGCCGAAAGGCGUAGUCGAUGGGAAACAGGUUAAUAUUCCUGUACUUGGUGUUACUGCGAAGGGGGGACGGAGAAGGCUAUGUUGGCCGGGCGACGGUUGUCCCGGUUUAAGCGUGUAGGCUGGUUUUCCAGGCAAAUCCGGAAAAUCAAGGCUGAGGCGUGAUGACGAGGCACUGCGGUGCUGAAGCAACAAAUGCCCUGCUUCCAGGAAAAGCCUCUAAGCAUCAGGUAACAUCAAAUCGUACCCCAAACCGACACAGGU